rnacentral:rRNA from 1 species
CCGGCGAUGUCCGAAUGGGGAAACCCAGUGCAAUUCGUUGCACUAUCGUUAACUGAAUACAUAGGUUAACGAGGCGAACCGGGGGAACUGAAACAUCUAAGUACCCCGAGGAAAAGAAAUCAACCGAGAUUCCCCCAGUAGCGGCGAGCGAACGGGGAGCAGCCCAGAGUCUGAAUCAGCUUGUGUGUUAGUGGAACGGUCUGGAAAGUCCGACGGUACAGGGUGAUAGUCCCGUACACCAAAAUGCACAGGUUGUGAACUCGAAGAGUAGGGCGGGACACGUGGUAUCCUGUCUGAAUAUGGGGGGACCAUCCUCCAAGGCUAAAUACUCCUGACUGACCGAUAGUGAACCAGUACCGUGAGGGAAAGGCGAAAAGAACCCCGGCGAGGGGAGUGAAAAAGAACCUGAAACCGUGUACGUACAAGCAGUGGGAGCACCUUCGGGUGUGACUGCGUACCUUUUGUAUAAUGGGUCAGCGACUUAUAUUCUGUAGCAAGGUUAACCGUAUAGGGGAGCCGCAGGGAAACCGAGUCUUAACUGGGCGUUAAGUUGCAGGGUAUAGACCCGAAACCCGGUGAUCUAGCCAUGGGCAGGUUGAAGGUUGGGUAACACUAACUGGAGGACCGAACCGACUAAUGUUGAAAAAUUAGCGGAUGACUUGUGGCUGGGGGUGAAAGGCCAAUCAAACCGGGAGAUAGCUGGUUCUCCCCGAAAGCUAUUUAGGUAGCGCCUCGUGAAUUCAUCUUCGGGGGUAGAGCACUGUUUCGGCUAGGGGGUCAUCCCGACUUACCAACCCGAUGCAAACUACGAAUACCGAAGAAUGUUAUCACGGGAGACACACGGCGGGUGCUAACGUCCGUCGUGAAGAGGGAAACAACCCAGACCGCCAGCUAAGGUCCCAAAGUCAUGGUUAAGUGGGAAACGAUGUGGGAAGGCACAGACAGCCAGGAUGUUGGCUUAGAAGCAGCCAUCAUUUAAAGAAAGCGUAAUAGCUCACUGGUCGAGUCGGCCUGCGCGGAAGAUGUAACGGGGCUAAACCAUGCACCGAAGCUGCGGCAGCGACACUAUGUGUUGUUGGGUAGGGGAGCGUUCUGUAAGCCUGCGAAGGUGACCUGUGAGGGUUGCUGGAGGUAUCAGAAGUGCGAAUGCUGACAUAAGUAACGAUAAAGCGGGUGAAAAGCCCGCUCGCCGGAAGACCAAGGGUUCCUGUCCAACGUUAAUCGGGGCAGGGUGAGUCGACCCCUAAGGCGAGGCCGAAAGGCGUAGUCGAUGGGAAACAGGUUAAUAUUCCUGUACUUGGUGUUACUGCGAAGGGGGGACGGAGAAGGCUAUGUUAGCCGGGCGACGGUUGUCCCGGUUUAAGCAUGUAGGCUGGUUAUCCAGGCAAAUCCGGAUAAUCAAGGCUGAGGUGUGAUGACGAGGCACUACGGUGCUGAAGUAACAAAUGCCCUGCUUCCAGGAAAAGCCUCUAAGCAUCAGGUAACAUUAAAUCGUACCCCAAACCGACACAGGUGGUCAGGUAGAGAAUACCAAGGCGCUUGAGAGAACUCGGGUGAAGGAACUAGGCAAAAUGGUGCCGUAACUUCGGGAGAAGGCACGCUGGUGUGUAGGUGAAGUCCCUGCGGAUGGAGCUGAGACCAGUCGAAGAUACCAGCUGGCUGCAACUGUUUAUUAAAAACACAGCACUGUGCAAACACGAAAGUGGACGUAUACGGUGUGACGCCUGCCCGGUGCCGGAAGGUUAAUUGAUGGGGUUAUCCGUAAGGAGAAGCUCUUGAUCGAAGCCCCGGUAAACGGCGGCCGUAACUAUAACGGUCCUAAGGUAGCGAAAUUCCUUGUCGGGUAAGUUCCGACCUGCACGAAUGGCGUAAUGAUGGCCAGGCUGUCUCCACCCGAGACUCAGUGAAAUUGAACUCGCUGUGAAGAUGCAGUGUACCCGCGGCAAGACGGAAAGACCCCGUGAACCUUUACUAUAGCUUGACACUGAACAUUGAGCCUUGAUGUGUAGGAUAGGUGGGAGGCUUUGAAGCGUGGACGCCAGUCUGCGUGGAGCCAACCUUGAAAUACCACCCUUUAAUGUUUGAUGUUCUAACGUUGGCCCCUGACCGGGGUUGCGGACAGUGUCUGGUGGGUAGUUUGACUGGGGCGGUCUCCUCCCAAAGCGUAACGGAGGAGCACGAAGGUUAGCUAAUCCUGGUCGGACAUCAGGAGGUUAGUGCAAUGGCAUAAGCUAGCUUGACUGCGAGCGUGACGGCGCGAGCAGGUGCGAAAGCAGGUCAUAGUGAUCCGGUGGUUCUGAAUGGAAGGGCCAUCGCUCAACGGAUAAAAGGUACUCCGGGGAUAACAGGCUGAUACCGCCCAAGAGUUCAUAUCGACGGCGGUGUUUGGCACCUCGAUGUCGGCUCAUCACAUCCUGGGGCUGAAGUAGGUCCCAAGGGUAUGGCUGUUCGCCAUUUAAAGUGGUACGCGAGCUGGGUUUAGAACGUCGUGAGACAGUUCGGUCCCUAUCUGCCGUGGGCGCUGGAGAAUUGAGGGGGGCUGCUCCUAGUACGAGAGGACCGGAGUGGACGCAUCACUGGUGUUCGGGUUGUCAUGCCAAUGGCACUGCCCGGUAGCUAAAUGCGGAAGAGAUAAGUGCUGAAAGCAUCUAAGCACGAAACUUGCCCCGAGAUGAGUUCUCCCUGAGACUUUAAGUCUCCUGAAGGAACGUUAAAGACGAUGACGUUGAUAGGCCGGGUGUGUAAGCGCAGCGAUGCGUUGAGCUAACCGGUACUAAUGAACCGUGAGGCUUAACCUUACAACGCCGAAG